UGAGGGAUCUCAGGUAAAGAGGCCCAGGCUCUCUUUGUCCUACUGCUAUCUCCAUGGCAUUUUCAUUACAAUUAACUGUAAUAGAUAGAGUGAGAAAACUGGAGGUUUCAGAAAGUACAGAUGGGGAGAAAGAUUAAAUCAAUUCUGUGAGAACAACUGCCUAAAUGAUUUCUACUUAAGGUACACUGGACAAAAAGGAAUGGUGGGAGAUACCAAUUUCAUUAGUCAGGGCUACGCUUACCAGGAGAGAUCCAACUACUGGAGCCAAUCUAUGAGGAUGACUUUCCUUAGCCUCUGCCUAUUUGAAUGCUUCUAGCUUAUUUGAAAGAAGAAGAAACACCAGGCUUCCACUAACAAAAUGAAGCCUUAUGUGAGGACUCGAAAUGGGUGCAUUCACUUGAGAAAUGUGAACAGGGCUGCAUAUCAUCAGCCAGGCUUCAAGACGUCUUGGCUGCCUUGGUGGUGUAAACUUCAGUAUCGUUCAAUACACACUCACUGAUUUUGACCUUUCAAGAAAAUAUGUUGGCCCUUCUGAAGUUACGAGCAAAAUUUGCUGUGAUUUCAACAGAGAAGAGGUUACCCUCAGGGAUAUCAUUGUGAGAGAAAGAAAUACUGAACUUGGAGGACACCGGUGACCCAUCUGUCUCAGGACUGUUUAUUGGAAAUGCCAUAGGGAAGGGCAUGAAAACCCACAUACUUCCAGCAGAUGAGUCCUCUCAGCUCCAUGGUAUACAGAACUGUGGUCCUAGCUCUUUUAAUACUGGGCAGGCUAACUCGAUUCUUCUUCCCUCUGGCCAGAACACAUGCCACUGAAGGAACGAUUUAUUUCCCUAAGCAAUGCUGCUUUCAGCAAUUUCAGAUAGCUUUAAAUUAUGUCUUCUGAUCUGUGUACCAAAUAAUUGCAGAGUGUAUGUGAGAAGACCUGGGUAUAUCUCUACAUAUGCAUUGAGAUGGAACAAAAAAAGACGUUUAUAGUAAAACUGCCAGCAUACCUGCUGAAAUGUGUGCACCUAUAGGUAAUAUGUUUUGAAAUAUGAUACCUAAGCAUAAGGUAUGUAGUGUGUUCAAUAUGCUUCUUUAUUAACCUCUAACAAAACCCAAACUAACAUACAAAGUACUCAAGCUUGACUGUCUGACAGCUUCAUCUGCCAACAAUCCUAUAAUUAGGACUCAGAAAUAUAGAAAUGCAAAGGACAGCAAUUUGUACUGUAGACUUCCAGAUGCUUUUAAAACUCCCUUGGAAACUGAACCAGGAUGAAUGCGAAUGCCUCAUUCCUAUGUGCACUUAGAAGGAACCCUCUCCUAGGCAAAACAUGAAGGCAUUUAUUUAUAUUUUUAGUCUUUUUUUUUUUUUUUUUUUUUGUACACUGGAAGCUUAAUGCUGAAAGAAAGUUUUCAUUAUCUGAGUUGAUAGCUAACAGUCAAAGUUGCUCUCUUGUCUCGGUAUCUUUCAGUGUUUGGGAAACCGAUUUAUAACAAUACAUGGAUGCACUGAAUUAGAAAAGACAGUUUUAGAGCAGUGACAUGUUUUUUUUCCUACAGUGCACACUCCACUGAGAUAAGUCAAAUACACUGCAUGAGAGCUGCAUGCAGUCUGAAAGGUUCUCCUGCCCGCACUCUCGUUUUCUUCCUUCCUUUUUUCUCUGCCAGCCUGGGGGCCCACAGGAGACCCAAAUCCUGCCAUUUUGUGGCCCCUUGUUACAAAGGGCACAGCAACUGGUGAAGUAAAAUUGCUGCUCAUGAAUCUGACUAAGCUUACAAGCUCAGUAACACACAGAGCUUUCACUGUUUUGGAGCCUGGAAAUUCAAGAUCUUGUCCAAAUUUUAGCAGACUGUGAAGUCCUUGAACUUAGACCCAACCCUACUUUUAGUUCUGUAAUUUCCAGAAAAGACUGGCUGGUUUCUCAGUGAUUCUUAAGUGUCCCAAACGGCGGAUUCUAAGACUAUUUCCUUAACAAAAGGUGUGUAUUUCAUAAAUCUACCACUGGUGUUUGAAGCUGAGAUACAGUUAUUUGUGAACUAGACUUUUUCUGCCGUUUAUUUUAUUUAACAAAACUGCAGUGAUGCUAACUCUGCUAAUUCAUUGUGAUAAGCUGUGUAUUCCUGCCAUGAGUAUUCAGACAUACUCCCUCCUUACCCACCUGAACAGCAUAAACACAUCCUCUGCCAUGUCAGGCACUUUGAAUGCUUUUCUACAACUCAAACAUCUUUCUUAUCUCUUCCAUCAUUUCCAGAAUGCAAAAAAGAAAUGUCUUGCAUGGUUUUAAAACCUUUCAAGUUUCGUGAGUUAUGUAUACCUCUUCAGACCAAUGUGAUUUUACAUUUAAUAAGCUGAGAACAAAUAACAAGGAAAAGCCUUGAAAAAUUUACUGUAAGACAUCACAAUAUGAAUCUAUCUAUCUAUAAAAAAAGUGAAUCCAAGCUGAAUAUAAAAUGGCUGCUUCCUCCAACAGGCCCUGUGAGGUACAGCUCAAUGUACAAAGCAAAAAUUGCUUUGCAUAUAUAUAUAUAUACAUAUAUAUAUAUAUAUAUAUGCACACACACACAUACAUAUGUAUGCCAUGUGCAGAAAUUUCUGGUGUAGUCAAAAUUGUUGCAUUUAGCAGACUUUUGUCAUAAAUGUCCACUUGAGUGCACAGAUGAACUUGUAAAACCAAUAUAACUGCUCUGGCUUCAUUGCUAGUUAGUAAUGAAAUUUUUUAGAUCAACUUCUGUGCACUUCUGAUUCUGCAUGUGUAUACUUCCGUUUUAUACCCUUAUACAGAAAAAAAUAAUUAUAAUGGACAAUGGUUUUGUUAGCAAAUCUCCAAAAUUGCAGAACCAAAGAAUUAAGGGUAGUUUUACGUGAGGAAGAGCAUGCAAUGUUCAGAAGUAACAGGUAAAUGAACAUUUAUGUUUACCCAAACAAAGUUUCAGAUCAUUCUAUAUAAUAUAUAAUUAAGCAAGUAAUAUAUAUUACUACCAUUACUAGCACUGGUAUUUGUUAUGAUUUUCCACAGUAUUGAGAAUAAUUCGAGAUAGAUUUCCCCCGUUAGCAUUUCACCAGGAAGCUGCUUUAUAACACAAUUUAAGACAGAAAGUUAAGAUCAUACCCACUAACAGAGUUAAUAAUCAAUUCCAGCAAUAUAUUUCAAGUCCUACUUUUUGCUCAGAUCUAUUCUUUUUUUUUUUUUUUUUUUCAAUAUAUUUUCUCAUAAAUUCUCUCUUUCUCUCUCUUUUUAU